AACGAACGCUGGCGGCAUGCCUAACACAUGCAAGUCGAACGAGACCUUCGGGUCUAGUGGCGCACGGGUGCGUAACGCGUGGGAACCUGCCCUUAGGUUCGGAAUAACUCCCUGAAAGGGGUGCUAAUACCGGAUAAUGUCUUCGGACCAAAGAUUUGUCGCCUUUGGAGGGGCCCGCGUUGGAUUAGCUGGUUGGUAGGGUAAAAGCCUAUCACGGCGACGUUCGAUAGCUGGUCUGAGAGGAUGAGCAGCCACACUGGGAAUGCGACACGGUCCAGAAUCCUAGGGGAGGGAGGAGAGGGGGAUAUUGGACAAUGGGGGAAAGCCUGAUCAAGCAAUGCCGGGUGAGUGAUGAAGGCCUUAGGGUUGUAAAGCUCGUUUACCCGGGAUGAUAAUGACGGUACCGGGAGAAUAAGCUCCGGCUAACUCCGUG
rnacentral:rRNA from 1 species